GACGAACGCUGGCGGCGUGCUUAACACAUGCAAGUCGAACGGGGUCCAUGAGAGCUUGCUCUCGGAAGACCUAGUGGCGAACGGGUGAGUAACACGUGAGAAACCUGCCUCGGAGUGGGGAAUAACUCGAGGAAACUCGAGCUAAUACCGCAUACCUUCAUUUGACCGCAUGGUCAGUUGAAGAAAGAUUUAUCGCUCUGAGAGGGUCUCGCGGCCUAUCAGCUUGUUGGUGGGGUAACGGCCUACCAAGGCAACGACGGGUAGCUGGAUUGAGAGAUCGACCAGCCACACUGGAACUGAGACACGGUCCAGACUCCUACGGGAGGCAGCAGUGGGGAAUCUUGCGCAAUGGGCGAAAGCCUGACGCAGCAACGCCGCGUGCGGGAUGAAGGCCUUCGUGGUUGUAACCGCUUUCAGUAGGGACGGAAAUAGACGGUACCGUGCAGAAGAAGCUCCGGCUAACUACGUGCCAGCAGCCGCGGUAAAGUCGACGUCG
rnacentral:rRNA from 1 species